CUCCGGUGCCCGGGAGAGGGGCCGGGCGGGACGGUACAGCAACCGGAGGAACCUUGAUUCCCUGCCCCGCAAGCCCAGCACCGGUUUUGCCGCCUUGUCUCGAAGGGUCAACCAGGCCAUCUCCUGCCUCGGGACGGAGAGCGCCCUGGAAAAGGCGGAGGGGCCGUCGAUGUUAUCGAAAUGAAGCACUUUUCUCUGAAUUGGUGUGGGUUUUGGAAUGAUUUUUGCAGAGAUAGUCAC
rnacentral:lncRNA from 1 species